UCAACCAUAAACGAUGCCGACC
rnacentral:siRNA from 1 species